rnacentral:rRNA from 1 species
UGGGGAAUAUUGGGCAAUGGGGGAAACCCUGACCCAGCAACGCCGCGUGAAGGAAGAAGGCCUUCGGGUUGUAAACUUCUUUUAGCAGGGACGAAGGACGUGACGGUACCUGCAGAAAAAGCAACGGCUAACUACGUGCCAGCAGCCGCGGUAAUACGUAGGUUGCGAGCGUUGUCCGGAAUUACUGGGUGUAAAGGGCGUGUAGGCGGAGCUGCAAGUCAGAUGUGAAAUGUCAUGGCUCAACCAUGGAACUGCAUUUGAAACUGUGGCCCUUGAGUAUCGGAGAGGCAAGCGGAAUUCCUAGUGUAGCGGUGAAAAUGCGUAGAUAUUAGGAGGAACACCAGUGGCGAAGGCGGCUUGCUGGACGACAACUGACGCUGAGGCGCGAAAGCGUGGGGAGCAAACAGGAUUAGAUACC